rnacentral:rRNA from 1 species
CGCGUAGGUGGUAGUGUAAGUCUGGGGUGGAAUCCCAGGGCUUAACCCUGGAACUGCCUUGGAAACUGCAUUACUUGAGUCAGUGAGGGGAGGGUAGAAUUCCUGGUGUAGCGGUGAAAUGCGUAGAUAUCAGGAGGAAGGCCUGUGGUGAAGGCGGCCCUCUGGCGCUGGACUGACACUGAGGCGCGAAAGCGUGGGGAGCAAACAGGAUUAGAUACCCUGGUAGUCCACGCCCUAAACGGUGGGCACUAGGUGUAGGGCUCGUAAGGGUUCUGUGCCGAAGGGAAACCAUUAAGUGCCCCGCCUGGGGAGUACGGCCGCAAGGUUGAA